rnacentral:misc_RNA from 1 species
ACUGAAUCCAAAAUGGCACAUCAGGCUCCUUCAAAAGCUUAGAAACAAAGUUAAACAACAAAAUCAAGAAACAUAACCUCAAGAGACAAACUCUGUUCCUCACAUAGCAGAUCCCUACACACACCAACAUUCAACUGGUUCACUCGUCUUCCUGGCUGCGCAGCCUGGCAAGCUUGUUGGUGACCGCAAUGUCCAGUUGUGCAGCACGCUCGACAAUAACCUUGCGCUUCUUUGUAGAGAUGUUGUGGGCUAUCUCAGCACAGUAUGUCCUGUUAUGCAUCAUAAGCAAUUCCAGCUCAGCAACAUUGUGAACUACAAACUUCUUGAAACCAUUGGGCAGGUAAUGGCGGGUCUUCUUGUCCGAGCCAUAGCCAAUGUUGGG